UGAGGAUCCAGUUUUAUUCUUCUACUUUUGGCUCGUCAAUUAUACUAGCACCAUUUGUUGAAUAAGGUGUCCUUUCCCCACUUUAUGUUUUUGCUUGCUUUGCCAAAGAUCCAUUGGCUAUUGCAAGUGGGAAACAAUGGCUGGAGCUGCAGUAUCUACCUUGAGCCAUGAGACGAUGUUGUGGCUGGAAGCUACAUGCUGGGCUGACAAAGCAGAACACAGAACCCUGGGACCCUAAAGACUGUGGUUUCACCAAAUCAGUCCUUCCUUUGGGUUUUUGCCUGAGA
rnacentral:lncRNA from 1 species